rnacentral:rRNA from 1 species
AUGAAUGAACCGCGUCGUCGACGUCCGGGCAAAGCUGCGCCGUCGUAUGGUGAUUUUGAUGGCUUGUUUAGUGUUCAGAUCCACAACAAGGGUUUCUUCUGUGGGAGUGAGAGCAACAAGACUUACAUGGAUUAUGAGGUUGACUGGUUUGACAUGUGUGAGAGUGACACAUGGUCAAUGUUAUGGAUCAAGGAUUUUCUUUCACAACUGGGACAUGACAUGGAAGCCUCCAAAUUAGAUGUGUAUUGGUGCCAACCAGGGAAGACAGUUGCUAAUGGGCUCAAACUUAUGCAAUGUGAUGAAGAUAUUGUUCUUAUGAUUAUUGCAACAAUAGAGCACAAGAACCUACUGCUUGUAGUAGAUCAUGGUGAAACUUUGCAGUCAUCGGAUGAUGAUGUUUUGAUUACUGGAGUGAUAGAACUGCCUAAGGUCAUUACUCCCACAAAACCCAAUGGAAAAGAAAAUGUUAGCUGCUCAGCGAAAGGAAAGAGUCCAAGACAGAAUGUAUCAAAGAAAACAAAGAGGAGGAUGUCAUAUGGUGAAGGAUCUAGUUCUGGGUUUACAGCUGAAGUGGAUGAAGAGCAAGGAGAGGAGCAUGGUCAGAGCAAUGAAGAAGAGGGUGAUGUUCAGGAUGAGUUAACAGAUGAGGAUUUUUAUGAGAGUGACUUUGAUGUGCAAGAUGGUGACGAUGACCUGUUUGAUGCACAUGUUGACAAAAAUGUAGAUGACCAUAGAGAGAAGACUGAAAUUGCUGACUAUGAAGCAGAACUCCCAGAAGAUGCACUAGAGGACAGUCAUUUGAAUAUGUCAAGAGAAGAGAAAGAGAAGUUGAAGCAUAAAUUCAGUGUUUUCAACCCUACCACAGACCUGAAUGUACCAGUGUUCAAGCUAGGUAUGGUAUUUGCAGACAUGAUAGAGCUGAGACAUGCUCUCAAUGCAUACAGUGUCAGAAAUAGAGUGAAGGUGAGGAAGCUCAGGAAUACUAACAGGUCAUUGGAGGCAGUAUGCAAGGAUGACUGUACUUGGUACUUGAAGGCAGGCAAAGACAACAGAUCCAGCAGCAUUCAUAUCAAGAAGUAUACUGACAAACAUACUUGCACCAAAGCUUGGGAUCUGAAAGUGCUUACUGCUCCCUUUCUUACUAAACAGUUCAGAGAAGAGUUCAGAGGCAAUGAGAAAAUGCCCUUACUGAAAUUUUCAGAGAAGGUGGAACAAGAAUUUAACUUAGUUGCUCACAGGAGUAAGCUGGGAAGGGCAAGAAAAGCAGCUGUUAAAGAAAUCAGGGGAGAAGAUGAUGAUCAAUACAACACUUUGUGGGACUAUGGGCAGGAGUUGAGAAGGAGCAAUCCAGGGAGCCUAUUUUUCUUGUGCACAAAGGAAGUGUUUGAUGACAAGGCCAAGGUCACAAAGGACCACUUCUCAACAUUGUACUGGUCUUAUGAUGCAUGUAAGAGGGGUUUUUUGAAGGGCUGUAAACCAAUAAUUUUCCUUGAUGGUUGUCACAUCAAAACAAGAUAUAAGGGGAAUAUAUUGACAGCAGUUGGGAUUGAUCCAAAUGAUUGUAUCUUCCCUAUAGCAUUUGGCAUAUGUGAAGUGGAGUCAACACACAGUUGGGAGUGGUUUCUAGCCUCUUUGAAGGAUGACCUGAAUAUAAUCAAUACAUCAACAUUCACCAUUAUGAGUGACAGGCAAAAG